UGCGUAGGCGGUUCCGUAAGUUUGGUGUGAAAUCUCCCGGCUUAACUGGGAGGGUGCGCCGAAAACUGCGGGGCUGGAGUGUGGGAGAGGUAAGCGGAAUUCCUGGUGUAGCGGUGAAAUGCGUAGAUAUCAGGAGGAACACCGGCGGUGUAGACGGCUUACUGGACCAUGACUGACGCUGAGGCACGAAAGCGUGGGGAGCAAACAGGAUUAGAUACCCUGGUAGUCCACGCCCUAAACGAUGCACACUUGGUGUGAGCGAUUCAUUUCGUUCGUGCCGGAGCUAACGCGUUAAGUGUGCCGCCUGGGGAGUACGGUCGCAAGGCUGAA
rnacentral:rRNA from 1 species